rnacentral:rRNA from 1 species
GACGAACGCUGGCGGCGUGCUUAACACAUGCAAGUCGAGCGGAGCGGCGAACGGGUGAGUAACGCGUGAGUAACUGCCCCCCUCUCUGGGAUAACAGUUGGAAACGGCUGCUAAUACCGGAUAGUGGGGGAUGACUCGCGUCCUAUCAGCUUGUUGGUUGGGUAGUGGCCGACCAAGGCCACGACGGGUAGCCGGCCUGGGAUGGCGACCGGGCACAUUGGUCUGAGAGACGGGCCAAACUGGUACUGGAGGCAGCAGUGGGGAAUAUUGCCCAAUGGGGGAAACCGGGAUGAAGCAGCGCCGCGUGCGGGAUGACGGCCUUCGGGUUGUAAACCGCUUUCAGCCAUGACGCGGUAGUGGCAGAAGAAGCACCGGCUAACUACGUGCCAGCAGCCGCGGUAAUUC